rnacentral:tRNA from 1 species
UACAGUAUAAUCUAGUGUUUAGGAUGUCCGUUUCUCAAGCGGAAGAUCCAGAUUCGAUUCCUGGUACCGUAU